rnacentral:rRNA from 1 species
GACGAACGCUGGCGGCGUGCCUAACACAUGCAAGUCGAGCGAGGUAUUUAUACCUAGCGGCGGACGGGUGAGUAACACGUGGGUAACCUGCCUCAUAGAGGGGAAUAGCCUUCCGAAAGGGAGAUUAAUACCGCAUAAUAUAUACCGGUAGCAUUAAUGGUAUAUCAAAGGAGAAAUCCGCUAUGAGAUGGGGCCCGCGGCGCAUUAGCUAGUUGGAGAGGUAACGCUCACCAAGGCGACGAUGCGUAGCCGACCUGAGAGGGUGAUCGGCCACAUUGGAACUGAGACACGGUCCAGACUCCUACGGGAGGCAGCAGUGGG